rnacentral:ribozyme from 1 species
UGCCCAGCAACUCCUAUCUCUACCUCCUCGCAGUACUGACCGGGGUACGAGCAACUUUAGGGAAGAUCGGGUAACCAAUUCCGUUUUGAACUUUGAUCGUAUGCUGACAGGGAAGG